rnacentral:tRNA from 1 species
GGGGACAUUGGGAAAGCGCAACAGCGGAUGCGCGCCGGUUCGAUUCCGGCUGUCCCCC